CCUACGGGAGGCAGCAGUGGGGAAUAUUGCACAAUGGGGGGAACCCUGAUGCAGCGACGCCGCGUGGGUGAGGAAGUACUUCGGUAUGUAAAGCCCUAUCAGCAGGGAAGAAAAUGACGGUACCUGACUAAGAAGCCCCGGCUAACUACGUGCCAGCAGCCGCGGUAAUACGUAGGGGGCAAGCGUUAUCCGGAUUUACUGGGUGUAAAGGGAGCGUAGACGGCGUGCCAAGUCUGAUGUGAAAGGCCGGGGCUCAACCCCGGGACUGCAUUUGAAACUGGCAUGCUGGAGUGCUGGAGGGGCAAGCGGAAUUCCUAGUGUAGCGGUGAAAUGCGUAGAUAUUAGGAGGAACACCGGUGGCGAAGGCGGCUUGCUGGACGGUAACUGACGUUGAGGCUCGAAAGCGUGGGGAGCAAACAGGAUUAGAUACCCGAGUAGUC
rnacentral:rRNA from 1 species